GUGUUGUAAGUGUCUAAGGGCGCACGGUGGAUGCCUUGGCGCAAGGAGCCGAUGAAGGACGUGGGAGGCUGCGAUAUGCCUCGGGGAGCUGUCAACCGAGCUGUGAUCCGAGGAUUUCCGAAUGGGGAAACCCAGCACCAGUCAUGUGGUGUUACCCGCCGUUGAAUAUAUAGACGGUGUGGAGGGAACGAGGGGAAGUGAAACAUCUCAGUACCCUCAGGAAGAGAAAACAAUAGUGAUUCCGUGAGUAGUGGCGAGCGAAAGCGGAUGAGGCUAAACCAUGCACAUGUGAUACCGGGUAGGGGUUGUGUGUGUGGUGUUGUGGGGUUCAUCUUUCCAGCUCUACCUGGCUGGACAGCAGUAAGAAAGUGUCAUGUUAGGUGAAGUGGCCUGGAAUGGUCCGCCGGAGAGGGUGAGAGUCCCGUAACUGAAAACGUGGUGCCUGUUGUGAUGAAUACCCGAGUAGCAGCGAGCCCGUGGAAUUUGCUGUGAAUCUGCCGGGACCACCCGGUAAGCCUGAAUACUACCUUGCGACCGAUAGCGGACAAGUACCGUGAGGGAAAGGUGAAAAGUACCCCGGGAGGGGAGUGAAAUAGUACCUGAAACCGUGUGCUUACAAUCCGUCAGAGCCCUCGUUGUGGGGUGAUGGCGUGCCUUUUGAAGAAUGAGCCUGCGAGUCAGUGCUCGGUGGCGAGGUUAACCCGUCUGGGGGUAGCCGUAGCGAAAGCGAGUCCGAAUAGGGCGUUUGAGUCGCCGGGUCUGGACCCGAAGCGGAGUGAUCUACCCAUGGCCAGGGUGAAGCAGCAGUAAGAUGUUGUGGAGGCCCGAACCCACUUAGGUUGAAAACUGAGGGGAUGAGCUGUGGGUAGGGGUGAAAGGCCAAUCAAACUCCGUGAUAGCUGGUUCUCCCCGAAAUGCAUUUAGGUGCAGCGUCACGUGUUUCUUGCCGGAGGUAGAGCUACUGGAUGGCCGAUGGGCCCUCACAGGUUACUGACGUCAGCCAAACUCCGAAUGCCGGUAAGUGAGAACGUGGC
rnacentral:rRNA from 1 species